rnacentral:hammerhead_ribozyme from 1 species
AACUGGUCGAGAGCUGGACCGCUCUCCUGAUGAGCCCAUGGCAGGGCGAAACCAGUA